rnacentral:tRNA from 1 species
CCCCUGGUGGUCUAGUGGUUAGGAUGCGGCGCUCUCACCGCCGCAGCCUGGGUUCAAUUCCCGCUCAGGGGA